rnacentral:lncRNA from 1 species
GCCUGUGCUUUUUUUCAUGAACGCAUAAAGAAUAUCUUCAUCGAUUGGGGAUUUGAUAUUGUUCAACGUGAGCCGAAUUUGACACAUUGCCAUCCUUAGAUGCAGACUUCGGGCGAACGGGCAACGCAGCAGCAUCUCAAAUCCUGUUAUUAAAAUAGAUGGCACGCAUCUCAAGUUGGCUCAAGAAACGGGUUAUGGAACAUGUUAUUUGCAUAGACUAGUUUAUUUGAGUCUGCGACUUCGUUCAUUGGCACAUGAGGCAAUGGCGGAGCCAGAAAUUUGCUCCUGGGUAUUCCUGUAUUUUUUUUUUUUGCCAAAGCAGUAUAAUAGAGCAACAAAUGUACUGUAAAAUUGCAAUAUCAAUAACUCAAUGACCAUACAUCGAUAAUAGUAGCAAAAUAUCAUUGUGGCAAUAUCUCUAAUAAUUAAGAAAGAUUACAAGCGACAAAGAAAAUUACAAUAUAACUUUAUGAUCCUUUUUUGGAAGAGAUUGAUGACAUCCUCAUCUACAUCGAUAUCAAAUAAACAAAGUGGAAAUCAGUGGCAUGGACUGACGGACAUUGGUCAUUAGAUAAACAAUUUUAGUGUACAGCCGAUUAGUGAAAAUGAUCAAGAGAGGUAGUGGUCACAAUGUUCAUUAUGUCAAUCUAGCAAUCAGUGAAUCACAUAGGUUGCAAAUGAAUCACAUAAUAAGCAGUUCAAUUUCACUGGUUUACAAGCAAUCAGUCACUGUCUUCUACGAAGGCAUUGACAUUUACAAAAAUUCUUCAGAUCUUUUUAGAAACAGAGGGGAAAAUACCUUCGACGGAGCCACGGAGGCUGGACUGCCGGAGGUGGUGCCGGGCCGUGGAGGGGGAGGGAGCCUGAAGCCCUACAGGGCGAGCCGAGCGGGG